UGAGUAAUGCAUAUGAAUCUGCCCGAUAGUGGGGGAUAACCUGGGGAAACCCAGGCUAAUACCGCAUACGUCCUACGGGAGAAAGGGGGCUCCGGCUCCCGCUAUGGGAUGAGCCUAUGUCGGAUUAGCUAGUUGGUGAGGUAACGGCUCACCAAGGCCACGAUCCGUAGCUGGUCUGAGAGGAUGAUCAGCCGCAUCGGGACUGAGACACGGCCCGAACUCCUACGGGAGGCAGCAGUGGGGAAUAUUGGACAAUGGGGGAAACCCUGAUCCAACCAUGCCGCGUGUGUGAAGAAGGCCCUCGGGUUGUAAAGCACUUUCAGCGAGGAAGAACGCCUGGCGGUUAAUACCCGCUAGGAGAGACAUCACUCGCACAAGAAGCACCGGCUAACUCCGUGCCAGCAGCCGCGGUAAUACGGAUGGUGCAAGCGUUAAUCGGAAUUACUGGGCGUAAAGCGCGCGUAGGUGGCUUGAUAAGCCGGUUGUGAAAGCCCCGGGCUCAACCUGGGAACGGCAUCCGGAACUGUCAAGCUAGAGUGCAGAGAGAGGAAGGUAGAAUUCCCGGUGUAGCGGUGAAAUGCGUAGAGAUCGGGAGGAAUACCAGUGGCGAAGGCGGCCUUCUGGACUGACACUGACACUGAGGUGCGAAAGCGUGGGUAGCAGACAGGAUUAGAUACCCUGGUAGUCCACGCCGUAAACGAUGUCGACCAG
rnacentral:rRNA from 1 species